CCUANGGGCGGCAGCAGUGAGGAAUAUUGGUCAAUGGGCGUAAGCCUGAACCAGCCAUCCCGCGUGAAGGAAGACGGCGCUAUGCGUUGUAAACUUCUUUUCCAGAGGAAUAAAAUUUUGUACGAGUACGGAACUGAAGGUACUCUGGGAAUAAGCAUCGGCUAACUCCGUGCCAGCAGCCGCGGUAAUACGGAGGAUGCGAGCGUUAUCCGGAUUUAUUGGGUUUAAAGGGUGCGUAGGCGGAUUAAUAAGUCAGUGGUGAAAACCUUCAGCUUAACUGGAGAACUGCCAUUGAUACUGUUAGUCUUGAGUACGGUCAAGGUAGGCGGAAUGUGUAAUGUAGCGGUGAAAUGCUUAGAUAUUACACAGAACACCGAUUGCGAAGGCAGCUUACUGGGCCAUUACUGACGCUGAUGCACGAAAGCGUGGGGAGCGAACAGGAUUAGAUACCCUUNUANUC
rnacentral:rRNA from 1 species